GUAAAAUCACAUAUCGUUCGCCGGGCAUCGUGUUUCAUGCGUUCUCUUCGUCAAUUCGACAGCAAAUAAGUAUCAAAUGCAUGAAGGGGAAGAACAAGCACUGGAGUGAUCUCUAAGUAAAUGAACUCCACAUUGGAUUUGAAUGAAGUGAAUUGAAGUCAGAUUUUAAUGAAGCGAAAAAAAUCGGAUUUAAAUGCUAAUCACUGGUAAAGGCGGAAGCAGGGAAAGUGACAAGGAAUGUAAAAGAAUGGAAAUUUUCCAUGGAGCCCGGAACCGUGCGACUGAGAUAAGGAAAGAUUUACUUUUUGGUUUUUGAUUUCAACAGUAGCGUACAAGAGACGAUAAUUUCGUGGCGCACAUAUUCAUAUAUUCAUGUUAACAGACCUAU